GGCCACAUAACGUUGAAACACCGGUUUCCGUACGAUCACCGGAGUUAAGCAACGUUGAGCCUGGUCACUAUCUAGAUGGUUGACCGCUUGAGAAUACCAGGUGCUGUC